GCGGCGAUGGUCUAGUGGUCAAGACGCUGCAUCCCUGUGUCUUGCAAACACAAGCGCUUCGCCAUCGAGUCAACAGUUUCUGCAUUCGAUGGGAAGAAGCUGCAGAGAUCGCAGGUUCGGAUCCUGCUCACCGCU
rnacentral:tRNA from 1 species